rnacentral:piRNA from 1 species
UCCAGAGAGGUGCACAGCUGAUGGAGUC